rnacentral:rRNA from 1 species
UACGUAGGGGGCAAGCGUUGUCCGGAAUCAUUGGGCGUAAAGCGCGUGUAGGCGGUUCGGUAAGUCCGCUGUGAAAGUCGGGGGCUCAACCCUCGGAUGCCGGUGGAUACUGUCGAGCUUGAGUACGGAAGAGGCGAGUGGAAUUCCUGGUGUAGCGGUGAAAUGCGCAGAUAUCAGGAGGAACACCAAUUGCGAAGGCAGCUCGCUGGGACGGUACUGACGCUGAGACGCGAAAGCGUGGGGAGCAAACAGG